GCCAUUGCGGAUGACUUGAGGAUGUUGGAAGCAUUCAACGAGGAGGAGAAAGAAGUGCAGAACAUCGCAAUCUUGAUGUUGCCAGAUGCUGUCCUGUGGGAAGUUCUUCUUCACGUGGUCCCGGAGGAGGGUGACGCUGCAUUGUUUAAGCGGUCUUUGGUUUGUUCCAAACAGACUCAUUUCGAAAGAGGGCACACUUCUGCUGGCUUGACAGUGUAACAAGAUGGAGAACUAAGUCUGAGCCAUGCCAGGAUUUUUUCUGGGCCUAACAGAACUGCAUUUUACCAUUGUACAGGUGAUUAGGACGGGAUCCUGGUCGGAGACAGGAGCUAUGCCUGCAGGCAUUACUUCAUGACCCCAACCCUGGACCCCAAACCCGUUACAAUGCAGCUCUAGCCAGGACAACGGCACGCAUUGAAAUGACCUUUUGGGCAACUAAAGGGAAGGUUUCAGUGUCUGAGGGUUGCACCUGACAGGGCAUGCAACAUUGUGGCAUGUGCUGUAUUACACAACAUUGCCACCAUCAGAAAGGAGAGGACCCCGGUGGUGGAGGUGCAGCCUGAUGAUGACCUCCAGCCAGUGCACUUGGACCAACCUAGUGGCACACCAGUUCGUUUGCCUGCAAAGACAGAUAUUGUUAUGCAAGGUCAACAGUAGUGCUCGGUGUCAAAUGGUGUUUUACUAUUUACUCUGAAGUUCCUGUUGCAGCAACUCUAUUCCUAGUGCAAUUUUCUUCUUCAUUAGCUGUUGGAGCUCUAUUUGUCCCCUCAGUUUUUGUUUUUUUACUUCCAAAUAUUCAACCUUAUGCUGCAGGCUACGUUUAUAGAGGGAACGGAUGUCACCCUGUGCCAUUUACACAUGCCACAAACAAAAAAAAUAAAUAAAAUGAGAAAAAAGACAAACUGAUAUGCAACACUGUCCACCUCUGUAUCACUUCUCUGUGCAGACUCCUGCAACUCAUAUUGCUGUCAAAAAUAGAAAGUACUUUAGUUGAUACAAAUGUAUAGUGUGUAUUAUAUAGUGUGUAGUUAUGCACUUACAGGUACUUCCUCCAAAGGACACUCAUCCGAGAGGGUCUCUUUGCUGUC